rfam:Triticum aestivum genome assembly, contig: Triticum_aestivum_CS42_TGACv1_scaffold_500214_6BL
UUAAUACUCCAUCCGUUCGAAAAUACUUGUCAUCAAAAUGAAUAAAAAGAGAUGUAUCUAGAACUAAAAUACAUCUAGAUACAUUAUCUUUUGUCCAUUUUCAUGACAAGUAUUUUCGGACGGAGGGAGUACUGG